rnacentral:rRNA from 1 species
UACGUAGGGAGCAAGCGUUGUUCGGAUUUACUGGGCGUAAAGGGCGCGUAGGCGGCGCGGUAAGUCACUUGUGAAAUCUCUGAGCUUAACUCAGAACGGCCAAGUGAUACUGCAGUGCUAGAGUGCAGAAGGGGCAAUCGAAAUUCUUGGUGUAGCGGUGAAAUGCGUAGAUAUCAAGAGGAACACCUGAGGUGAAGACGGGGUUGCUGGGCUGACACUGACGCUGAGGCGCGAAAGCCAGGGGAGCAAACGGG